GACGUAGGGCGCAAGCGUUGUCCGGAUUUAUUGGGCGUAAAGAGCUCGUAGGCGGCUCGUUGCGUCGGCUGUGAAAACCCGCAGCUCAACUGUGGGCUUGCAGCCGAUACGGGCGGGCUGGAGUUCGGUAGGGGAGACUGGAAUUCCUGGUGUAGCGGUGAAAUGCGCAGAUAUCAGGAGGAACACCGAUGGCGAAGGCAGGUCUCUGGGCCACUACUGACGCUGAGAAGCGAAAGCAUGGGGAGCGAACAGG
rnacentral:rRNA from 1 species